GAGUUUGAUCAUGGCUCAGAUUGAACGCUGGCGGCAGGCUUAACACAUGCAAGUCGAACGGUAAAGUAGCUUGCUACUUACGAGUGGCGGACGGGUGAGUAACGUAUGGGAAUUUACCGAAUGGAGGGGGACAACAGUUGGAAACGGCUGCUAAUACCGCAUAACGUCGAGAGACCAAAGGGUUUCGACUUGCCAUUUGAUGAGCCCAUAUGAGAUUAGCUAGUUGGUGUGGUAAUGGCUCACCAAGGCGACGAUCUCUAGCUGGUUUGAGAGGAUGACCAGCCACACUGGGACUGAGACACGGCCCAGACUCCUACGGGAGGCAGCAGUGGGGAAUAUUGCACAAUGGGGGGAACCCUGAUGCAGCCAUGCCGCGUGUAUGAAGAAGGCCUUAGGGUUGUAAAGUACUUUCGUGGAGGAGGAAGGGUUUACGUAAACGUGGACAUUGACGUUACUCCAAGAAGAAGCCCCGGCUAACUCCGUGCCAGCAGCCGCGGUAAUACGGAGGGGGCGAGCGUUAAUCGGAAUGGCUGGGCGUA
rnacentral:rRNA from 1 species